rnacentral:rRNA from 1 species
AGUGAACGCUGGCGGUAGGCCUAACACAUGCAAGUCGAACGGCAGCACAGUAAGAGCUUGCUCUUACGGGUGGCGAGUGGCGGACGGGUGAGGAAUACAUCGGAAUCUACUUUUUCGUGGGGGAUAACGUAGGGAAACUUACGCUAAUACCGCAUACGACCUACGGGUGAAAGCAGGGAAUCUUCGGACCUUGCGCGAUUGAAUGAGCCGAUGUCGGAUUAGCUAGUUGGCGGGGUAAAGGCCCACCAAGGCGACGAUCCGUAGCUGGUCUGAGAGGAUGAUCAGCCACACUGGAACUGAGACACGGUCCAGACUCCUACGGGAGGCAGCAGUGGGGAAUAUUGGACAAUGGGCGCAAGCCUGAUCCAGCCAUACCGCGUGGGUGAAGAAGGCCUUCGGGUUGUAAAGCCCUUUUGUUGGGAAAGAAAAGCAGCAGGUUAAUACCCCGCUGCUCUGACGGUACCCAAAGAAUAAGCACCGGCUAACUUCGUG